CUUCAGGCAAUGGACCAAACCCUGACCGAGCAGGAAGACGUGCGUGAUGAAUGCCCUUUGGGUUGUAUAGCACAUUAGAGACGAAACAAGCCGCAAGGUUGAGUAACCUAUGGAGGAAGCAUCGGGCUAAGUUCGUGCCAGCAGCCGCGGUAAGACGGAGGAUCCCGAAGCUUCUCCCGCAAUCAUUGGGUUUAAAGGGUGCGUAGGCGGAAUGGCAAGUCGGAGGUGAAAGCCCCCAGUCUAACUGGGGAAGUGCCCUUGAUACUGAUGUUCUUGAAAGAGGUAAGGUAGUGGGAACUUCCGGUGGAGCGGUGAAACGCGUAGAUAUGGGACAGAACACCAAUGCGAAAGCAAUGCGCUAGACCUAUAUGACGCUGAGCACGAAU
rnacentral:rRNA from 1 species